UAUAAAUUGUUUUCAAAUGAUGUUCAGAUUUUAUGCUUGCAUAAUAAUCUGAAUAUCAUUUAGAAAAUAUAACGGAAAUGAGCAAGCAGGCUGAUAAGCCGGAUUGCGAAUUUGCGUGGCAAUCGUGAGAUUGCGAGGCAAGGAACGAUUGCCGUUUAUA
rnacentral:sRNA from 1 species